AUGGAUGACGUCAACGCUUCUGACAGGAUGUGUAGUUAUGUAUAAUAGCCACAUUAGCGGCUAUUUAGCGUUUCAUUUUGGGGUGAUGACUACAGGUGAAUAUAUUGAUACAAGUUACCUUGUCUGGGAGAUUUGUGCAGUUAUCAAUACAUUACUCCAGGGCUCCCGGUGCCUCUGAUCCCAGGACCUACACUACAUCGGAGACAUCGGUCUCACUCUAAUCCAGCUUUCUGGAAGACAGACCAGCAGGGAAAUGGACCACGGAAAAACACCCAACUUAACCAAACAUCAAGUGCACUGAACUGUAUGUUAGUGUACUGGUAUGUGUGUGAGUGUGCAUAAGCGCUUGUGUUUUGGUGUGUGUCUGUUUUGAAUAUUUGUGUACACCAGUGUGUGUAUAAGCAAGUGUGUGUAUGUGCAUGAAUGAGUAGGUGAGUUUCUGGCCUAGUCACCAGGCAGGCAGGGCUGAUGGAUGAGGCACAGGCCUGUGCCCAGGGACAAUGGACCCGGCCGCGCUACACUGCAGGCAAGGCAUUCAGCCCAGUUAUGAAACACAUUACUGGGCCAGACAGGCUCUAACCUCCUCCACCAUUUGCUGGGCAUAGAGCAAUGGUCUAACAGACUCCAACAUCUGUCCUGCAGGCACAGAGGGGUAGCCAGAAAAAUACCAACAAUCAGGCAUCUAUGAUAAAACUGGUGCCACUGCCAUUUCAACAGCAUUGUUUUUCUUCACCACUACCGUUAUUUUCAGCUGCUGAUCAUGGUAUAUCGCACAUGACAUACAUCUCAAAUAGCACAUUUUACAGGGAGGGGGAUGGACCCAAAGGAGGGCUGGAACUAGAGAGAGAGAGAGAGAGAGAGAGCUAAGGAGGUUCAGUAGCACCUAGAACUUCUGCUCAGAUACUGUCUGACUUUGUCCCUGACGGUAAAAUCUUAGUAAGACAAAAAUAAUGGUGUUCUAAAAAAGCUCCAGUUGCCAAGACAACAAAUACAAAUUCUAUCUAGUCACCGUUGCCCUAGAGCACACAACUAAAUAUAUCUACCACGGCCUAAACAUCAACACCACAGGUAACUUCCACAAGGCUAUGAACACUCUAAGAGAUAGGGCUUUCUAUGCCAUCAAAAGGCAGAUAAAACUCGACAUCCCAAUUAGGAUCUAGCUAAAAAAUAUUUCAGUUAGUUGUAGAACCAAUUGCUCUCUAUGGUUGUGAGGUCUGGGGUCCACUCACCAACCAAUAAUUCACAAAAUGGGACAAGCCCCCAAUUGAGACUAUACCCUUUAAAUAUCAAAAUCCAGAAAAGAGCUGUUAAAUUUUACAACCAAAUAAAAGGAAGCCAUCCCUACACAUUCCACCACAAAACCCUCACCUACAGAGAGAUUAACCUAGAGAAGAAUCCUUUCAGCCAGCUGGUACUGGGGCUCUGUUCACAAACACAAACAGACCCCACAGAACCCCAGGACAGCAACACAAUCAGACCCAACCAAA